rnacentral:rRNA from 1 species
CGCGGCCUAUCAGCUUGUUGGUGAGGUAACGGCUCACCAAGGCAUCGACGGGUAGCUGGUCUGAGAGGAUGAUCAGCCACACUGGGACUGAGACACGGCCCAGACUCCUACGGGAGGCAGCAGUGGGGAAUAUUGCACAAUGGGCGAAAGCCUGAUGCAGCAACGCCGCGUGCGGGAAGAAGACCCUAGGGUUGUAAACCGCUUUCAGCAGGGAAGAAAAUGACGGUACCUGCAGAAGAAGGUGCGGCCAACUACGUGCCAGCAGCCGCGGUGACACGUAGGCACCAAGCGUUGUCCGGAUUUAUUGGGCGUAAAGAGCUCGUAGGCGGUUCAGUAAGUCGGGUGUGAAAACUCUGGGCUCAACCCAGAGACGCCACCCGAUACUGCUGUGACUUGAGUACGGUAGGGGAGCGGGGAAUUCCUGGUGUAGCGGUGAAAUGCGCAGAUAUCAGGAGGAACACCAGUGGCGAAGGCGCCGCUCUGGGCCGAAACUGACGCUGAGGAACGAAAGCGUGGGUAGCAAACAGGAUUAGAUACCCUGGUAGUCCACGCCGUAAACGUUGGGCACUAGGUGUGGGGCUCAUUCCACGAGUUCCGUGCCGCAGCAAACGCAUUAAGUGCCCCGCCUGGGGAGUACGG